rnacentral:rRNA from 1 species
CCUACGGGUGGCAGCAGUGGGGAAUAUUGGGCAAUGGGCGCAAGCCUGACCCAGCAACGCCGCGUGAAGGAAGAAGGCCCUCGGGUUGGAAACUUCUUUUAUCAAGGACGAAACAAAUGACGGUACUUGAUGAAUAAGCCACGGCUAACUACGGGACAGCAGCCGCGGUAAUACGUAGGGGGCAAGCGUUAUCCGGAUUUACGGGGUGUAAAGGGCGUGUAGGCGGGACUGCAAGUCAGAUGGGAAAACCAUGGGCUCAACCCAUGGCCUGCAUUUGAAACUUUAGUUCUUGAGUGUUGGAGCGGCCGCCGGAAUUCCGUGUGUCGCGGUGACAUGCGUAGUUAUUCGGAGGAACCCCAGUGGCGACGGCGGCCUGCUGGACCAUAACUGACGCUGAGGCGC